UACGUAGGCAGCAAGCGUUGUUCGGAGUUACUGGGCGUAAAGGGUGCGUAGGCGGCUUCUUAAGUCUGGUGUGAAAUCUCCCGGCUCAACUGGGAGGGUGCGCCGGAUACUGAGGGGCUAGAGUGUGGGAGAGGAAAGUGGAAUUCCUGGUGUAGCGGCGAAAUGCGUAGAUAUCAGGAGGAACACCGGUGGUGUAAACGGCUUUCUGGACCAUAACUGACGCUGAGGCACGAAAGCGUGGGUAGCAAACAGG
rnacentral:rRNA from 1 species